rnacentral:lncRNA from 1 species
CACUCUGCAUCUAGGGAAAUUAACAGUUAAAAAUGUCACAUAGUUACCAAAACAAAAAGAAUUUUUAUUUUCUAAUGAUUUCAUAAUUAAAGAACUUGCUGCAUUAACUCGGAUGUAUGAACGUUUUCUGCGGGUAAAAAAAAAAACAUUCACACCUGUAAAGGAAUGUUUUCAUAGUUGGCCAUAUCUUCUAGGACUAAAAAAAUAGAAUCUAAUAUAACUCGAACGAUUAUUCCGUUUCUUCGUAAAUUUUCAGUCAAUGACGGGACAAUAUGAAAUCUCUUCAUCAACUAAUCAUUACACUUUUAUUUUUUAACAAUUUUUCAAUCCGAAUGUUAACGGAGAUGGUCUGGCCCUGAUACGAUUUUGGAAACUGGAC